rnacentral:rRNA from 1 species
GAUGAACGCUGGCGGCGUGCUUAACACAUGCAAGUCGAACGGGAAACCUUUUAAUGAAGCUUCGGCAGAUUUAGCUGGUUUCUAGUGGCGGACGGGUGAGUAACGCGUGGGUAACCUGCCUUAUACAGGGGGAUAACAGUCAGAAAUGACUGCUAAUACCGCAUAAGCGCACAGGACCGCAUGGUCCGGUGUGAAAAACUCCGGUGGUAUAAGAUGGACCCGCGUUGGAUUAGCUUGUUGGUGGGGUAACGGCUCACCAAGGUGACGAUCCAUAGCCGGCCUGAGAGGGUGAACGGCCACAUUGGGACUGAGACACGGCCCAGACUCCUACGGGAGGCAGCAGUGGGGAAUAUUGCACAAUGGGGGAAACCCUGAUGCAGCGACGCCGCGUGAAGGAAGAAGUAUCUCGGUAUGCAAACUUCUAUCAGCAGGGAAGAUAGUGACGGUACCUGACUAAGAAGCCCCGGCUAACUACGUG